AUUGAACGCUGGCGGCAGGCCUAACACAUGCAAGUCGAACGAGUGGCGGACGGGUGAGUAAUGUCUGGGAAACUGCCCGAUGGAGGGGGAUAACUACUGGAAACGGUAGCUAAUACCGCAUACCAUCGGAUGUGCCCAGAUGGGAUUAGCGAGUAGGUGGGGUAACGGCUCACGUAGGCGACGAUCACUAGCUGGUCUGAGAGGAUGACCAGCCACACUGGAACUGAGAUACGGUCCAGACUCCUAUGGUAGGCAGCAGGGGGGAAUAUUGCACAACGGGCGCAAGCCUGAUGCAGCCAGGCCGCGUGUAUGAAGAAGGCCGUCGGGUUGUAAAGUACUUUCAGCGAGGAGGCGUUACUCGCAGAAGAAGCACAGGCUAACUACGUGCCAGCAGCCGCGGUAAUUC
rnacentral:rRNA from 1 species